rnacentral:ncRNA from 1 species
CAAGAGCUUUCGAUUUUAUAUCGUAAAGAAAUAUAGCGUAUAGGUAUAGUUGUCGGUUUGUUUAGCACGUCCAAAGUUUCUUUAAUAGGGGCCAUAUUCCGGAGAGGGCGCGAGACCUGUGACGACAGUUGAACAUACCGCAUGAUUAUGCCGGAGUCGGGUUGCUUGAAAAUGCAGCCUUAAGUGGAUGAUAAACUUCAUCUAGGGCUAAGUACGAACGCGAAUUCGAUAGCAAACAAGUGCUGUGAAGGAAAGUUGCAAAGAACUUUGAAGAGAGAGUUCAAGAGAAUGUGAAAUUGUUGAAGUGGAACCGGAGAAAA